rnacentral:lncRNA from 1 species
UUAACAAAACUAACUCCCCUAAAUAGGAGACUUAUUGUAAUCUAAAACUAGCUACUAAGUAGGAACUAAAUCCUAACAACUCAACUAAAUAAGAGGUAAAAGAGUAACUGCUACUGCUGCAUAUGUGCUAAUAAAAAUUGAGUGGAAACUGAUUAACAGGAAGAAUCAACAAAACAUGCUCAAGAUUAAUCUGAUAAAGGAAAGAAUACCAUCGUAAGUGGAUCCCAGGACUGCAUAUGUGCUAAUACCCCCCUCAAGGUAGGCGGUGUGUAACAACGCCUAGCUUGAAUACGUUACUGUCAAAGGAUGCUUUGGGCAGUGCUUUAGUGAGAGUAUUCGCGAGCUGAUCUGCUGAGUGAAUGUGGAUAAUCUGAACUUGUCUUUGCUACACUUGCUUGCGAACAAAGUGAAAGUCCACAACAAUGUGUUUCAUGCGGCUGUGGAACAUAGGGGUUUCAAACAAAUAUGUUGCACCAACAUUAUCACAGUAAAUGGUUGGUGCGUGUAGAACAAGAAUGUAUAAUUCUUUCAACAAGUUCGUUACCCAAUUAAUUUCAGCAAGUGCACUGGCAACUGCGCAAUAUUCAACCUCAAUUGAUGAGCGAGCAACAGGUUUUUGUUUCUUGGAUGACCAGCACACAGGAUUUGAUCCAAAAAACAGUACAUAACCUGUACUGGAGGUUCGAUCAUUCACAUCUCCAGCCCAAUCCGCAUCAGUGUACAUGUGAAGCUUGAAAUUAUUGCGUCUGAGUAUGCGGAGACCAAACUGAAUCAUUCCUUGGAGAUACCUACGCAUGCGUUUGAGUGCUUUUCAAUGUGUUUCAGAUGGACAAUGCAUGAAUUGGGACAGUUUGUUAACAGAAAAACUUAUGUCUGGUCGGGUGAAUGACAAGUACUGUAGCUUACCCACAACUUUUCUGUAUCGAGUAGCAUCAGUUGGUUCCGCACCAUCAUUGAGCUUAAGUAUUUCUGUCGAACUCAUUGGAGUUUUAACCGGCUUGCAGUCACUCAUGUUUUCCUCCGUCAGAAUAUCACUGAUAUAAUUAGAUUGUGACAUAAUGAUUUCAUCAUCACCACGGAGCACCUCGACACCAAGAAAAUAUUAUAGAUUUCCAAGAUCUUUAAUCGAAAAAUUUUCAGCAAGUGAGUGAAUAACCUGAUCAAUAAUACGAUUGUGACUUCCUAUGAUGAUAAUAUCAUCUACAUACACGAGCAAAUACACCACACUGUAAGAAUGUUGACAAAUGAAAAGGGAGGCAGCCGACUCAGACUUUACAAAUCCCAAGUAAAGAAGAUGAGCCUUGAGUUCGUUGUACCAAGCUCGAGGAGCUUGCUUGAGUCCAUAUAUUGCUUUUUUAGACGGUAAAUAUGAGAGGGAAACUGCUCAUCUUCAAAGCCUGGAGGUUGAACCAUAUAGACCUCUUCCUCUAGAUGUCCUUGUAGGAAUGCAUUAUUGACAUCAAGCUGCCUGAGUGGCUAAUUAUGUUGAACUGCCAGUGAGAGCACUAAUCGAACCGUAGUUUGUUUCACAACCGGACUGAACGUAGCAUGAUAGUCAACUCCUGGCCUUUGGUAAAUCCUUUUGCAACGAGGCGCGCCUUGUAGCGAUCAAUUGUUCCAGCAGCUUUUCUCUUUAUCCUGCAUAACCACUUGCAAGACACAAUAUUUUUACUGGGAUCAUUUGGUACCAAAUCCCAAGUUUGGGUUUUCAUCAAUGCAUCAAAUUCAGUUUUUAUUGCUCUCUGCCACUCGAGGAAUUUGGUAGCUUGAUGGAAAGUGGAUGGGGUGAUUGUGGGUGACAAAUACGCCAUGUAGUCAAAAAUCUUUUUUGUUUUCUGAAUGUUAUUUUGCGAAUGAGUGACAACACGAUUUUGAGAUUGGGUAGGAGGUAUGUUGGUUGGUAUGACUGGAGCGGGUAAGGGAGCAUGUUGUGUGGUUGUUGGAAGUGAGACAGAUGUGUUGGUGAUAUUUCGGUUAUGUGUUUCCAUUGCACUGUUUUUGCGGCUGUAAACUAUUGGAAAAGAAGGAUGCUUUGUAAUUUUGCUUGAUGGUUGUUGGGUAUUUGUGAUGAAGAGGGUAUUGUUGAUAGGUUUGGAAGAGACUCUGUACAAUGGGAGUCAUUUGAAUUCCUAGGGAUAACUGUUGGGGUUGGUAGAGGGGGAUAAGAUUGGAUAUCAUGAAGAUGGGGAGGGGUACGCAUGGUUGGAGGAAGAGAUGUACCUGGAUUUGCAGAUUCUGUUGAAGCGCAGCCAAAUGAGAUGGUCUGUUCUCGUAAGAUGGACUCUGCAUUGGGUAAAAUCACUGGGGAGGGUAAAUCUAUGUUAACUGAAGGAGAGAAAAUUGGAGAUACACUUGAGUUUGUUUGGAUUGGUUUUUCCCACGCAAGUGUUUUAAAAUUUGAAGAAAUUUUUGAAAAUAUAUUCUGGAAGGGAAAAAUAUCUUCAAAAAUUUUUACAUCACGAGACAAGUAUACUUUUGAGGCUUUCGAAUCAAAACAUUGAUGACAAUUAUAGGUUAAUGAAAAACCCAAAUAAACACACGGGGUCGACCUCGACUCUAUUUUUUUUUUGUGUAUGGUUUUAGCCACGGAUAACAUGAACACCCAAAAAAAUUUCAAAGAGUGAUAAUCAGGUGUUUUUCCAAAUAAUGUUUGAAAGGGUGAUUCAUUUUUUAAGAGUGAGUUAGGCAAGCGAUUUGUUAGAUAAACAACACGUUGACAAGAAAACGACCAAAGAGACGUCGGAAGCGAAGCUUCAUGAAGUAAUGUUCUUGCAGUUUCAAUAAUAUGUCUAUGACGUCGUUCUGCAAGGGAAACUCUUUGAGCUGUGUAUGGAGGAGCUAAAAGAUGUUCAAUACCUUGAGAGCUUAAGUAUGGAUCAAGGCUUUUAUAUUCUCCACCACCAUCUGUAUAGAUUGACUAAACUUUUGUAUUAAAAUGACGUUCCAUUAACACUUGAAAAUCUUUGAAAAGUUCUUUAACCUCACUCUUAUUUUUCAAUGGAUAAAGCCAAAUGUAUAGCGUAAGUUGCUGAAAAGGAUGGCGAUGAGCUUUGUUUGAUGAACAAGAAUUACAAACUGAAAUUUGUUCUCGUAAACAAGGUAGCGAGAAUUUAUUUAAAAAAAAAAUUAAAACUCUUGCGUGCGGAUCACCCAAUCGACGAUGCCAAGUGAUAAUAAAGGAGUUGGGGAGGCCACAUUUGCUCUUGGUGAAGAUGAAUUUGUCCACUCAUAAAACCAUCUCUACUCUGACCGCGUACGAAUGGAGUCUUCGUUUUCAAGUCCUUCACACAAAAAUGAAAAGGGAAAAAUUCAAUAGAAGUUAGAUUAUCUUGACAGAAUUUUGAAACUGAAACCAAGUUUUGUUUAAUGCUAGGAGCACAAAGAGUGUUAAAGAGUUUGAAAGCAUUAUUUGAUGCAUGUAUUUGAGUUAAACCAGUGUGAGUUAUAGGUAUUUUGUUACCAUCACCCAUAGAAACUUGCCCCAUGCCAUUGUAUGCUUGCAAGUUAUGCGGCUCAGCAGUGAUGUGAUGAGAUGCACCAGAGUCGAGAAUCCAAGGAUUUGGUGUUGUUUGCAGGGCUGAAAUGUAGUUGGCCUUGGCCUCAUAAUGAUUAUGAGAUGCGGACCUAUCGUACACUUGCAAUGUGUCCUACUUUGUUGCAUAAUUGGCAUCUAACCCGUCCAGAGUUGGUGGUGUUUGAAGAGCGUGACUGCUGGUUGAUAGGAGCAGAUCCAUUUUUGUAUCGCCACUGCUGGUAGUCGCUGCUGUUGUUGUUAGCGGUGCGCCUGUUGUUCCGGUUAGUGGAAGGAGUAGGCUUAUUUUGUGAAGCAUAAGCUGCAGUGAUUAGCUAGCAGGUUUCUUUGACUCUUCAUGCCUCAAAAAAAGUUCAUGAUCAAGGAGCUUUUAAUAGAGUUCUUCAUAGGAAAUUGUAGACUCACGUGACCGAAUAGCUGCUGAAAUUUCACGAAACUCUGGACCCAGACCGCUAAGAAUCAUAACAAUGAGUUUAGAGUUCCUGACUGGAGCACCGGCAGUCGAGAGUUCAUCAAAAAGAGAGCGAACAUUUUGAAGAUAUUCGGUGACUGGUUGGGAAUCUUUAUUGAGUCUUGAAGGAUGAUCAAGAAUACUAAAGAUUCUGGUUUGCGACUUGUUUGCAUAUGCGGUGUGUAAUGCAUCCCAUCCUUUCUUUGCAGUCUCAGUAGUUGCAACUGUAGUGGCAAUUGUUGGAUCAACAUAUGCCAUGAGUGCAUUUUGAAUUAGUUGAUCUUGGCGGAACCAAAGAACAUAUGUUGGGUUGACACUAGUGACUGUGCUUGUUGUGAUAGUGCUGGAUGGAGCAGAAGUAGACCUAUCUAGAUGACUAAAGAGAUCAUGGCCGUGCAUGUGGAAAAUUGUGCCUUCCAUGUCGCAAAAUUAUGACUUCCAGUUAGUUUAAUCGAAAAUUAGGUUGCAUGAUUGAACUGGACAAUAGUUGUGGUGGUGUUAUUAUCAGCAUUGACUACACUGGUGGUGUUGGCCAUUUGUGGGGGGUGGGAGGGAAAAAUAAAAUAAAGAUCUUACUCGUUAGAGUGUUAUUUAGGCUCUUGAUACCAUAAAAAGACUUGAAAGUAAAGGCUUUGAAUUGAUGAUCUUUAUUGAGUCUUCAAUGACCUUUAAAUACAAUAAGCAAAUAAUUAACUCCCUAAGCUGACUCCUGUGAUGGAGGAGAACAUAACAACUUAACAAAACUAACUCCCCUAAAUAGGAGACUUAUUGUAAUCUAAAACUAGCUACUAAGUAGGAACUAAAUCCUAACAACUUUACUAAAUAAGAGGUAAAAAAGUAACUGCUACUGCUGCAUAUGUUCUAAUAGUUAGUGCCCAAAUUUAAAACUAGCUACUAAGUAGGAACUAAAUCCUAACAACUCAACUAAAUAAGAGGUAAAAGAGUAAUUGCUACUGCUGCAUAUGUGCUAAUACAACCCCCUCAAGGUAUUCGGUGUGUAACAACGCGUAGCUUGAAUAAGUUACUGUCAAAGGACGCCUUGGGCAG